GAACGGGGAGAUUCAGUGUCGCGAUUGACCGGGAUCCGUCCCGCGAUACGCCUGGGCGGCGAGGGCGUGCACUUCUCCCCUAGUAGGACGUCGCGACCCGUUGGGUGUCGGUCUACGGCAUUAGCCUGUCGUGAAUUGGCAGACCCCGCGUGUCCCGGCCGACUGCCCGACGGUAUAGCGUUCGGCCGGUCGCAAGCGUGUGCGGUUCUUUUGGCUGUCGGACCUGGUCCGGCACCGAUCCCGCCGCGCUGUUGGCGACCGUGUCCUCGGACAGACUCUACAGGUCAGCGAUGCUAUUGCUUUGGGUACUUUCAGGACCCGUCUUGAAACACGGACCAAGGAGUCUAGCAUGUGCGCAAGUCAUUGGGAAUCACUAAACCUAAAGGCGUAAUGAAAGUGAAGGUUCGCUUAUGCGGACUGAGGGAUGAUGGUUCGGUGCAAACUCGCAAUCCCGGGGCGUCUUGAUCUCGUUGAGAUGAGGCGCACCAAGAGCGUACACGCUGGGACCCGAAAGAUGGUGAACUAUGCCUGGUCAGGUCGAAGUCAGGGGAAACCCUGGUGGAGGACCGUAGCGAUUCUGACGUGCAAAUCGAUCGUCGGAACUGGGUAUAGCGGCGAAAGACUAAUCGAACCAUCUAGUAGCUGGUUCCCUCCGAAGUUUCCCUCAGGAUAGCUGGCAUUCGAUGAGCGAGUCUCAUCCGGUAAAGCGAAUGAUUAGAGGCCUUGGGGCCGAAACGACCUCAACCUAUUCUCAAACUUUAAAUGGGUGAGAUCUCUGGCUUGCUUAAAUAGUGAAGCCAGAGCAGAGUGCCUAGUGGGCCACUUUUGGUAAGCAGAACUGGCGCUGUGGGAUGAACCAAACGCCGAGUUAAGGCGCCUAAACGACGCUAAUGGGAUACCAUGAAAGGCGUUGGUUGCUUAAGACAGCAGGACGGUGGCCAUGGAAGUUGGAAUCCGCUAAGGAGUGUGUAACAACUCACCUGCCGAAGCAACUAGCCCUGAAAAUGGAUGGCGCUGAAGCGUCGUGCCUAUACUCGGCCGCCAGGGCAUGAGGAGUGUAUCGCUUUGAAGCCCUGGUGAGUAGGAGGGUCGCGGUGGUGAGCGCAGAAGGGUCUGGGCGUGAGCCUGCCUGGAGCCGCCACCGGUGCAGAUCUUGGUGGUAGUAGCAAAUACUCCAGCGAGGCCCUGGAGGACUGACGUGGAGAAGGGUUUCGUGUGAACAGCCGUUGCACACGAGUCAGUCGAUCCUAAGCCCUAGGUGAAAAAAAUCUCACACCCAUCGGGCGAAAGGGAAUCCGGUUCCUAUUCCGGAACCCGGCAGCGGAACCGUUUACAAGUCGGGCCCUCGCAAGAGAGUUCGUCGGGGUAACCCAAAAUGACCUGGAGACGCCGUCGGGAGAUACGGGGAGAGUUUUCUUUUCUGUAUGAGCGUUCGAGUUCCCUGGAAUCCUCUAGCAGGGAGAUAGGGUUUGGAACGCGAAGAGCACCGCAGUUGCGGCGGUGUCCGUAUCUUCCCCUCGGACCUUGAAAAUCCAGGAGAGGGCCACGGGAGGUGUCGCGCCGGUUCGUACCCAUAUCCGCAGCAGGUCUCCAA
rnacentral:rRNA from 1 species